GACGAACGUUGGCGGCGUGCUUAAUACAUGCAAGUCAACUGAAGCAGUGGUAGCAAUAUCGCUGUGGAGGUGGCGCACGGGUGAGUAACACGUAGGUAAUCUGCCUUCAGGUCUGGCAUAACUCCGGGAAACCGGGGCUAAUAGCAGAUGAUGCAGCGGCUCGACAUCGAGACAGUUGUUAAAGCUAUGGUGCCUGAAGAUGAGCCUGCGUCUGAUUAGCUAGUUGGCGGGGUAACGGCCCACCAAGGCAACGAUCAGUAGCUGGGCUGAGAGGAAGAUCAGCCACACAGGAACUGUGACACGGUCCAGACUACUACGGGAGGCAGCAGUAAGGAGUAUUGCUGAAUGGGAGAAAUCCUGAAGCAGCAACGCCGCGGGAGGGACGAAGGUCUUUUGCUUGUAAACCUCUGUAGUGAGGGAAAAAAAUCCCAAUCUUUGUGACAUGAUGUUAUCUCAAAAGUAAGCCCCGGCUAACUACGUG
rnacentral:rRNA from 1 species